rnacentral:lncRNA from 1 species
CAGCAAUGCUGGAUCUGAGCUGCGUCUGCGACCUAUGCAGCUUGCAGCAAUGCCGAAUCCUUAACCCACUGACCAAGGUCAGGGAUUGAACCUGAAUCCUCACGGAUAUUUGUUGCGUCCUUAACCCACUGAGCCACAACAGGAACUCCCUAAAAGAGUGCUUUUGAUUUAAGAAAGUGGUCCUCACUCAGGGAGAUUCCAGGGGGGAGACCAUCAAACCUGUGGGCACCCGCUGAGUGCCACGUACUGUGCUGGGUGCCAGAAACGCACGGCUGGGUGGCCACGUGGCCCAGGCCGACCUCUUAUAACUCAGGAGUCAGUUCAGCUCAAAGCUCACUUGCCCAUGUGUGAAAUGGGUGAGUCACAGGUGGAAGCGUUAGGGCCUCUGCUGAGCAAACGGUCACCGAGCCACUAGUGACUCUUCCUAUGAAUGGACAGGCUUAGCCAGACCCCAUCUGCGUGAGUGUUCUGUAAAUACUGUCUUCACGCUGACUUUACCAAGGGCCAAAAGGGACAGCUUCCCUGUUCAGUCCACCCUCUGGGGCCGUUUCUCUGCCUGCUUGGCAGCACCGGGCCCUCCCGAAGCCCUCAAUUUGUGUCUGAGACAAUGAGUCACUUUUGAUAUGUGACACACUCUUGCUUGGCUGUGGGAACCUCGUCACAGGAAGUCUGUCCAUCGACCUGGAACUUAUUUUAGGUUAAAGUAAAAAUCAGUGUAAAUUUGUAGACAUUCCUGGUGACAAUGGAAGUCACCCAAAGAAUGAAAAAAAAAAAAAUUAGACUUAGAAAUUGCCUUCCUUAAUGGCCAGGGCUGGGGCAGUCAGGAAUAUAGCCGAGGGAUUUUCAUUUGGGGGGGAUAAUCAUAAUUCCAUAAGCAUAUAAUGUAAAAUAAUAUAAAUCGGAAAACAAGCACUUUGUCACUUCAGCAGCGGGUGGUACAUCGACUUAGCCAUGCUGAUGCUCUCAAACACAUUGUUCUUAAAGCUGCUUAAAACCAUCUGCAGAGUUUCGAGCCAAUUGGCCUUUGCUCCCUUUUGAGUAGGAAUUAGAUGUUACAGCCUCACCUGAGAAGAGCCCUUUAAGGGCGGGGAUUAGUGGGGAACAUUCGGGUUGAGACUCAUAGAACUUGGGUUACAUCCAGCCAAGCGCCACCUAGGAGCUCUGUCGUCUAAAUGAGGUUACUUCUCUCUCUGUGAGUCCUUCUCCCCACCUCCAAAACCAAGACCUGCAGUCCUGUGGGUCCUGGAGCAAUGUAAUGAGGCCUGGAGAUAAGGCCCAUAAAGCUCCUAGAACUUAGGAGUGUCCCCGGCCAUUGGCAGCUCUGGCCAUCUCCACGUGGAAUUUUCCACAAUUGUGCAUCUGAUUAGAAAACUACCCUGAAAUGAAAACAUGUGAUAAUCCUCCUUGGUCUUCAGCUGUAAGCCAAACUCUCCUUGCCAAGGGAAAAUCAAGCACCGAUAUUACUUAGAAUCAAGAUAAAAGGGUAAAAGAUAAAAUGGUAAAACAGUGAGAGGGUCCGGGAGUCUGCAGCUGCCCAGAGCCACCCCUGGAGCACAUCCCAAGGGCCGCUUCUCGGAAAGAAACGCCUCCAAACAUUCAAUCAGGCCCCAGACAGGAUCAAAACGGGAGGUGGCGCUCGGCAUGAAGCCCAAGAAGAAACGGAGACAGCAGCCUCGGCUCUGCCUGAGGGAAAAUGCCCAGCAGACCGGCCAGGGUGGGCUCUCCAGGGGCCGCCCAGAUGCGCCAGCUCAGACCAGGGCAUCAUGGGUGGUGCCAUCUCCUGUUAACCUGACAGGACCCUGACCAAGCCACAUUCUUGGAUAGUUCAGUCUCCCAGGACCCUUCUCCACUGACGAGAAGAGGUGUGGGCUCACUGCCUCUCUUAUUCAUAACUGCUCACAAGUGGCAAAGCCUGCAUCACAGCAAGAAGGCUGAUUCUGCCUGUUGCAUCACAAUCUCAAUUGCCUGAGCACCAGCUACCAGGUAGUUGAGCAAACUUUUGGACAAGGACUCAAAAGAAUGACCCAUUUUUUCCCUCCCAACAGACAGUAGUACCUUAGGUCUAACAUAACCUUGAAACUCUGACCUUGAAGCCAGGAGGAUUAAGAGACCAGUUCCUCUUUCUGUGCCAACGUUUUAUUCUGUUUCCAAGUCUGGGGUAAGAGUCCAUCAAGAUGCUUCCUAAUUUGGGCAAGACGAACCUCCCAGCACACCUGCCUCUGAGGCCCCUUGACAGCGAGGCCACCCACUGGCAUGUCUUGGGGUGUUCAUUUAAACAAUGCUGGAGAUGUCAUCUAUUUCACUUUGCUAUUCCCCCAAUUCCAGCCUUUGCUAUGUCACAGCAUUUUCUCUCCAUUGUUUUUACCGGGGGCACCUUACUAGAACAACAAAUAGAAGACCAAAUCAGAACAGCCCAGCUUCGUUCUGACACAAAGGCGGGCCUGUGGGGCAGGGGGCGGCGACUGAUGCUGCGAAAGCCACCUUCGAUAGCACACGGAGGGGCUUCCAACAGAUCCACGCGCGGGGGACCCACGUUCCAAGGAGCGCACGGCCCCAGGUGGGGUGCCCAGAGCUGAGGGCGCAGGACGCACGGGCAGUGACGGGCCGGGCAUCACGUACGCGCCCGCGGCGGGCGGANNNNNNNNNNNNNNNNNNNNNNNNNNNNNNNNGCCCCCGCCCGGCCCCGCCCCCACUCAAGGGCGAAGGGAAGGUCGGGGCAGGGUGGGCGGCCGGCGAGGGCGCCGGACCAAUCACUUAAGCAUCCCUCCAUGGAGCGUGGCCUGGAAGCUGGGGAAGAUGAGGCAUCAGGGCCUUUCAGCUCAUCCGGGACAGGAGGAAGAGGGUAAAAUAAAAACCAAAACCGGGCUCAGGAGGCGUCCCCGGCCUGUGAUCCUUCAGGCUCUAAGCAUGCACCCGCCGGGGCAGCGCCUGGGCAGCACGGCGCUACUUUCUAGAGGCUGGGUCGCCCCACCCAGGGAUGGACCAGGAUCAGGAAACCCCAGCCUUCUGGGAACCCCUGCGCCCCCACGUGCGCCCAGCGCAAGGGGCCGUGGCGCGGCUGUGACAUCCCCGCUUUAAAUCCAAAUAUUCUGUUCGUAAGGCCUCGGGCCCGGGAGCAUGGGUCCCCUUCUCGAAAUCAGCUACCACCCUUGGGGGCGGAGGGCGGCAGCUGCAGUCCGCACUCCCGGUGCUGUGACGCUUGGGAGUCCCCGCUUCCUGGUCCUUC